rnacentral:hammerhead_ribozyme from 1 species
AUCCAGCUGACGAGUCUCAAAUAGGACGAGGCAUGCGUCCUUGAU